rnacentral:rRNA from 1 species
GAUGAACGCUGGCGGCGUGCCUAAUACAUGCAAGUCGAGCGAACAGACGAGGAGCUUGCUCCUCUGACGUUAGCGGCGGACGGGUGAGUAACACGUGGAUAACCUACCUAUAAGACUGGGAUAACUUCGGGAAACCGGAGCUAAUACCGGAUAAUAUAUUGAACCGCAUGGUUCAAUAGUGAAAGACGGUUUUGCUGUCACUUAUAGAUGGAUCCGCGCCGCAUUAGCUAGUUGGUAAGGUAACGGCUUACCAAGGCAACGAUGCGUAGCCGACCUGAGAGGGUGAUCGGGCACACUGGAACUGAGACACGGUCCGGACUCCUACGGGAGGCAGCAGUAGGGGAUCUUCCGCAAUGGGCGGAAGCCUGACGGGGCAACGCCGCGUGAGUGAUGAAGGUCUUCGGAUCGUAAAACGCUGUUAUUAGGGAAGAACAAAUGUGUAAGUAACUAUGCACGUCUUGACGGUACCUAAUCAGAAAGCCACGGCUAACUACGUG